UUUAAGUUACAGAUGUGAAAGACCCGGGGCGUCAACCUCGGAAUAGCAUUUGUAAACUAGGCAGACUAGAGUACUGUAGAGGGGGGUAGGAAUUUCUAGGUGUAGCGGUGAAAAUGCGUAGAGAUCUGAAGGAAUACCGGUGGCGAAGGCGGCCCCCUCGGACAGAUACUGACACUCAGAUGCGAAAGCGUGGGGAGCAAACAGGAUUAGAUACCCUGGUAG
rnacentral:rRNA from 1 species